CUCGUAGGCGGUUUGUCGCGUCGGGAGUGAAAACACCGGGCUUAACUCGGUGCUGGCUUUCGAUACGGGCAGACUAGAGGUAUUCAGGGGAGAACGGAAUUCCUGGUGUAGCGGUGAAAUGCGCAGAUAUCAGAAGGAACACCGGUGGCGAAGGCGGUUCUCUGGGAAUGUCCUGACGCUGAGGAGCGAAAGUGUGGGGAGCGAACA
rnacentral:rRNA from 1 species